rnacentral:rRNA from 1 species
GACGAACGCUGGCGGCGUGCUUAACACAUGCAAGUCGAACGGAAAGGCCCUGCUUUUGUGUGGUGCUCGAUUGGCGAACGGGUGAGUAACACGUGAGUAACCUGCCCUUGUCUUUGGGAUAACUUCAGGAAACUGGGGCUAAUACCGGAUAGGAGCUCCUGCUCCAUGGUGGGGGUUGGAAAGUUUCGGCGGUUGGGGAUGGACUCGCGGCUUAUCAGCUGGUUGGUGGGGUAGGGGCUUACCAAGGGUUUGACGGGUAGGCGGCAUGAGAGGGUGACCGGCCACAUUGGGCCUGAGAUAGGGCCCAGACUCCUACGGGAGGCAGCAGUGGGGAAUAUUGCACAAUGGGCGGAAGCCUGAUGCAGAAACGCUGCGUGCGGGAUGACGGCCUUCGGGUUGUAAACCGCUUUCGCCGGUGACGAAGCGUGAGUGACGGUAAUGGGUAAAGAAGCACCGGCUAACUACGUG